rnacentral:rRNA from 1 species
AGCGAACGCUGGCGGCAGGCCUAACACAUGCAAGUCGAACGGAGUGGCGGACGGGUGAGUAACACGUGGGAACGUGCCCUUUGGUUCGGAACAACUCAGGGAAACUUGAGCUAAUACCGGAUGCCAUUGUAGCGGCCCGGGUCCGAUUAGCUAGUUGGUGAGGUAAAGGCUAACGCAGGCCACGAUCAUUAGCUGGUCUGAGAGGAGGAUCAGCCACAUUGGGACUGAGACACGGCCCGAACUCCUACGGGAGGCAGCAGUGGCGAAUCUUGCGCAAUGGGCGAAAGCCUGAAGCAGCCAGGACGCGUGAAUGAUGAAGGUGGUAGGAUUGUAAAAUUCUUUCACCGGGGACGCGGUAACCGAAGAAGAAGCCCCGGCUAACUUCGUGCCAGCAGCCGCGGUAAUAG